GUUUCAUGCACCCCAGACUGCUUUAUUCAAAAUGCUUCAAGUGGUAAAAUCUGUGCUUAAACAUCCAGCAGGCACUAAACAACAGCAUUCAUUUUGAGUUGUUUCUGACCACCUGAUGAUCAGUCCUUCAGGACGUUGCAGCUGGCGAGUCUUGACGGGAAACUCGCUCUUGCUCUUCUGCUCUAAUUCGUGCCCGGCCCUGAGCUCGCUCCUACUGCAGGGAUGCCCUGCACUGGUGCAACAUACAUGGUCUGAUCCUCUGGGCUUGAUGGAUGAAAUAUGACAUCACACGUGUGUAGUAUAGUACUUGUACAUUCAUGAAACAUACUGCGCACGACUCGGAGGUGUGUGGAGAACUCAGAGGACGUAACACCAUCUGUGCCCAUAUUAUUCUCUGGUUCAUGUCACAGACCAUAUGAUGGUACAACAGCAUGUGGAAGAGUAGAUGUGCACAUGCCAGCAGUCACCAAGCAUAUGUAUAAAUGUGUUACUGCAUUCACACAAAUAUUUGGAUGCAAAAAUGAACCAGCUUUCUCUUGUACCUUGAGUAAACGCACAUAAAGACUGUGGCAAUAACACAGGA